UGCUAGUCUUAGCAGCUAGCCAGGAGCUCUCUCUAGCUUUCCUGGUCCAUGCUGGAAUCACUGCUCUAUCCAGGGUGAUGGCAUUCUUUCCUCCUGCUAGGAGCCUGACCUUACCUCCUCAAGUGCCAGGCAGCUACUGAACUCUGCUCUGCCCUGCAGCCCUUCUUUUAUGAGCUUGUCAGGCCAUGAUUGGCUACUCCUCUCAGCCCCUUUCUAAUUGGCUGCCUCCAGUGCAGCCUCCCUAGGGCUGCUUUUAGCCCCUUUUCUUCCAGUGAGGGGCAGCUGCCCCAUUACACUAACCUCCCCAGUUAGAUAUUGGCUUAUGCCCUGGAGCAUAAAGAUUAACAUCCCUUGUAAACUUCUGAAAGUGGAAUAAUAAAAAAAAUCUGUCUUUCAGCCCCCCAAUGCACAAACCAGGCAUACAAACAUACAGAGGCUCAGAUCCUGGACUGACUCCAGGCUCUUUGUGCUAUUCCACUUAUAUAAAGGUUAUCAUAAACCUGGAUGACCUGAUCCCUGGAAGACAUACUACAUAGGCAACUCCAUAGUUGGUUUAGAGCUGCCACAGCAGCUUGUACAGCUGCCAUGCACUCUUGUUAAUCCUGUAGAGAGCAUGCCC